CCUACGGGUGGCAGCAGUAGGGAAUAUUGCUCAAUGGGGGAAACCCUGAAGCAGCAACGCCGCGUGGAGGAUGAAGGUUUUCGGAUUGUAAACUCCUUUUUUUAGAGAAGAUAAUGACGGUAUCUAACGAAUAAGCACCGUCUAACUCCGUGCCAGCAGCCGUGGUAAUACGGAGGGUGCAAGCGUUACUCGGAAUCUCUGGGCGUAAAGAGGGCGUAGGCGGGAUAGCAAGUCAGAUGUGAAAUCCUAUGGCUUAACCAUAGAACUGCAUUUGAAACUGUAAAUCUAGAGUAUGGGAGAGGUAGGUGGAAUUCUUGGUGUAGCGGUGAAAUGCGUAGAGAUCAAGAGGAAUACUGAUUGCGAAGGCGACCUGCUAGAACGUAACUGACGCUGAGGAGCGAAAGCGUGGGUAGCAAACAGGAUUAGAUACCCUAGUAGUC
rnacentral:rRNA from 1 species